rnacentral:rRNA from 1 species
AUUGAACGCUGGCGGAAUGCUUUACACAUGCAAGUCGAGCGGCAGCGCGGGGGCAACCCUGGCGGCGAGCGGCGAACGGGUGAGUAAUACAUCGGAACGUGUCCUUGAGUGGGGGAUAGCUCGGCGAAAGCCGGAUUAAUACCGCAUAAGCUCUGCGGAGGAAAGCGGGGGACUGGUAACGGCCUCGCGCUGUUGGAGCGGCUGAUGUCGGAUUAGCUAGUUGGUGGGGAAAGGCCCACCAAGGCGACGAUCCGUAGCUGGUCUGAGAGGAUGAUCAGCCACACUGGAACUGAGACACGGUCCAGACUCCUACGGGAGCAGCAGUGGGGAAUUUGGACAAUGGGGGCAACCCUGAUCCAGCCAUUCCGCGUGAGUGAAGAAGGCCU